UACGAAGGGAGCUAGCGUUACUCGGAAUUAUUGGGCGUAAAGCGUGCGUAGGCGGCUUUGUAAGUCAGAAGUGAAAGCCUGAGGCUCAACCUCAGAAUUGCUUUUGAAACUGCUAAGCUAGAGUAUCAGAGGGGAUAGCGGAAUUCCUAGUGUAGAAGUGAAAUUCGUAGAUAUUAGGAGGAACACCGGUGGCGAAGGCGGCUAUCUGGCUGAAUACUGACGCUGUUGCACGAAAGCGUGGGGAGCAAACAGG
rnacentral:rRNA from 1 species